GAAAAAAAAACAGAGUAGCCCAGCAAAAUCAUUACGGUCCUUUCAUUUUUGGAUAAAGAGCUGCAUACUUUUUGAGGGAAAGAGCUACAUAGUUAACUGUGUCAAGUCCAGUAUGGAGUCCACUUUAUUUUCAAGAGCGAGAAGAAAACUGAUUCUAUCACAAAAAUGAAACAGAAAUGUACCUACCAAAUUUACAAAUUC